CCCAGGCGCCCCAUGUGUGUUGUCUCAAGACUUAGAAGAUCAAGCCUUUAGUCCAAGCUCUCACAGGGAAGAAACUAACCACGCACUUCAACUAGAGCUGUGAAAGUCGGGAGGCGCGCCGGAGCUCGUUUGAACUCUUCCGGCCACCGUCGCUGGGUCCUUUCCGCCGCUUCUUCUUCUGCGCCUGCGCACGGCUGGAACGCCGUCCAUUUCAUUAUCUGUUAGGAAGGACGUUAGGUUGAAGUUGGUGUAGAGGAGAAUAACGACCAUGACUUCCAGUGCUUUGACGAAACCUCAGAUGCGAGGCCUUCUGGCCAAGCGUCUGCGAUUUCAUGUUGUUGGAGCCUUCGUUGUAUCCCUGGGGGUUGCAGCUUUCUAUAAGUUUGCUGUGGCCGAACCAAGAAAGAAGGCAUAUGCAGAUUUCUACAGAAAUUACGAUUCCAUGAAAGAUUUUGAGGAGAUGAGGAGGGCUGGUAUCUUUCAGAGUGCAAAGUGAUUUUGGAAUGUAAAGAAUUUCUUUGGGUUGAGUUCAAUUGAAGUUUGUCACUGACCUGUGUUCCUGAACUAUGAAGCACGAAUAUUGGGUUCUGGAAUAGGUUGUCUUGAUAAAUAAACAACUAACAAAUACUUUGGACAGUACGUUUCUGUUUAAUUCUUCUGAUAAUUCAGGGUUGGAGAUUUUAACUGUGUUUAUGAACCUUAGGAUGAUUAACUUGAUUUUAACAUUUCUUAAAACUACCAUUGUCUUCGAAUAUUUUUCAUUGCUCUGGUGUUUAAUUCACUGAAAUACUGGUAGGUGCACUUUCUUCAUCCUGCAGUCUACAUGAGCCUGUAAGACCACUCACUAUACUGUACCCUCUUAGAAGGGACAGAGAACAUCUUUUCAGUAAAAUAUGUCCUUGGGCUUCAUUGUCACUGUUUAGUAGCCCUGAUGGAUCAACCACCAGUUUCAGUAGAUAAUUAAAAUACCAGUUGUUUUUGAAGAGUUAACAGUAUGUGUAUAUAAGUUAGAAUAUAUAUCUGUAUUUGUGUGUGUGUGUGUGUGUGU